UCGAAUAAAAUUCUAGGUAGAAUUAUGAUAAUGACAUUGUCUGCCUAUGUGUCUUGACCAAAUUACGUGCCAGCAGUCGCGGUAAUACGUAGAAGACUAGUGUUAUUCAUGUUUAAUCGGUUUAAAGGGUACCUAGACGGUAAAUCAAGCCUAAAAGGAAAUAAAUGAAGGGACUAAUUUACUAGAGUUACUUAUGAGGGGGUAUUAAAGUACUGCUGGUGUAGAGAUGAAAUUCUGUCAUACCUCUUUUCAAUAGAAAAAUAAUGGCACAGGUAUAGGCGAAAGCAUCCCCUUAUGUGAUAACUGACGUUGAGGGACGAAGGCUUUGUGUAGCGAACAGGAUUAGAUACCCCAGUAGUCAAAGCAGAAAAUGAUGAAUGUCAUAGAUUAGAUAUAUAAGUUUAUUCUAUAAAUGAAAGUGUAAGCAUUCCACCUCAAGAGUAAUUUGGCAACAUUGGAACUGAAAUCAUUAGACCGUUUCUGAAACCAGUAGUGAAGUAUGUUGUUUAAUUUGAUGAUCCGCAAAAAACCUU
rnacentral:rRNA from 1 species